rnacentral:rRNA from 1 species
CGGUAAUUCCAGCUCCAAUAGCGUAUACUAAAGUUGUUGCAGUUAAAAAGCUCGUAGUUGGAUUUCUGCGGGGACGGAGCGGCCGGACGCAACUUGCGUCUCGAGCUAGCGCUUUCCCCGCAUCCUGCCGCGAACCGUGCUACCAUUAGUUUGGUGGCGCCGGGGAUCGGCUCGAUUACUUUGAGAAAAAUAGAGUGUUCAAAGCAGGCCACACGCCUUGAAUAAGUUAGCAUGGAAUAAUGACUAAGGACUUUGGUUCUUUUCGUUGGUGUUCGGGACUGAAGUAAUGAUUGAUAGGGACAGUUGGGGCGGUCCGUAUUCCAAAGCGAGAGGUGAAAUUCUUAGACCUUCGGAAGACGAACAGCUGCGAAAGCGUUCCGCAAGGAUGUUCCCUUUGAUCAAGAACGAAAGUUGGGGGAUCGAAGACGAUCAGAUACCGUCGUAGUCUCAACUAUAAACUAUACCAGCUAGGGAUCGGCCAACGUUUAAUUAUUCGACUUGGUCGGCACCUUAUGAGAAAUCAAAGCAUCUGGGUUCCGGGGGGAGUAUGGUCGCAAGGCUGAAACUUAAAGGAAUUGACGGAAGGGCACCACCAGGCGUGGAGCCUGUGGCUUAAUUUGACUCAACACGGGAAAACUUACCAGGUCCAGACAUAGGAAGGAUUGACAGAUUGAUAGCUCUUUCUUGAUUCUGUGGGUGGUGGUGCAUGGCCGUUUUUAGUCGGUGAAGUGAUUUGUCUGCUUAAUUGCGUUAACGGACGAGACCCCAGCCUGCUAAAUAGCGCGGCCGAGCUUUGCUCGGUACGAGCUUCUUAGAGGGACCAUGAUGCGCGAUAGCACAAGGAAGUUUGGGGCAACAACAGGUCUGUGAUGCCCUUAGAUGUUCUGGGCCGCACACGGGCUACACUGGCGCCUGCAACGAGCAUAUCAGCUGGCCCGAGAGGGUCUUGGCUAAUCUUUGGAACCGGCGCCGUGCUUGGGAUUGACCAUUGCAAUUGUUGGUCAUGCAACGAGGAAUGCCUUGUAAACGCGAGUCAUCAGCUCGCAUUGAAUACGUCCCUGCCCCUUGUACACACCGCCC